UACCAGCACCCCGAGUGGUCGGGACGAUUAUUGGGCCUAAAGCAUCCGUAGCCGGUUCUGCAAGUCCCCCGUUAAAUCCAGCUGCUCAACAGAUGGGCCGCGGAGGAUACUACAGAGCUAGGAGGCAGGAGAGGCAAGCGGUACUCAGUGGGUAGGGGUAAAAUCCGUUGAUCCAUUGAAGACCACCAGUGGCGAAGGCGGUUGCCAGAACGCGCUCGACGGUGAGGGAUGAAAGCUGGGGGAGCAAA
rnacentral:rRNA from 1 species